rnacentral:lncRNA from 1 species
ACUCGCUCCAGUGAUGUUUGAGCCCCAGCAUAGAUCAGCAUGCCAGGAAGCAGCCCACCGGACCCACCCCUGAUCAUGGCACUGGACAUUGUUUUCCGUGCUUUUCUCAGGCUGGUUUCUGCCUGUCCCAACCCUGGCCAUGGCUGACAAGGGGCCCAGGGACACUGGAGCAGAGAGACCUGCUGGUCCUUGGGGUUUCUUGCAAGCUGCCUCUAAAGGGAAAUAUCCCAGGAGUGAUGAAAACUUGAAGAUCGAGGAUUGGAUAUAAGCUCAGAGGUGAAGGAGGGAAAUUCCUCGGGUCAACUUUAGCGGACUGAUCCACGGGGUCUGCCAAGAGACAGGAGCUCGAGGGUUAAACCCAAGCACUCGGGAGUCAGAUGUAUGAAUCUGAAUCUCAGCCUCUCGGCUUGCUGUGUAAUCUCAGGCAAGUGACUUUUCUGUUCUGUAAAUCAGGCUGAUAGCGGGGGAACCUCUCUCACAGGGCUGCUACAAAGAUUGCAUGAGAUUUUGCUCAACAAAUAUUAGCUGUUGGCUCCAGAGUUUAAUACCUCUGAUCACUACAAGCUUUGAAGGCAAGAUAAAAUAACUUCAACAUAGUGAAUCAUCUGUGAACACUUCCUGUGAACGUGUGACUAUGAUUAUGGAACACUCUGUUGCAUCAAGAUGGCCAGAGAUUGUCUCAGAGUCCAGGCAGUGGGAGGAGGGGGGAUUUGUUUCCUGGCUGGGUGGUCGUAGGGCAUCAAGGGAUGAGCAGCUUUGGUUGUCUGGGAUUUCAGCAGCUUGAGGGGAGCUGUAGGGCCCCAGAGCUGUCGCUGUGGCUGUGGUGUCAGAAAUGUAAGCAAGGUGCCUCCAUGGAGGUUAGCGAGGGUGCCCCUCUGAAUGCCGGGUGGAAUGCAACCUUUCGCAUGGAGGAGGCCCUCAGCAGCUGACCUCUGUCUUCCCUGUGUAGAGGGAGGGAGGCUGAGGCUGGGGCUGAGCGAGGGGUAAAGUAAGCCACGUGUCUCAUCAGCUAGCCUGCAGCAAGCACAGCCCUCUGGGAGGGCUGGUUCUAUCCUCCUCCUUGGUGUGAAAUCCAUCAAUCUAAUAGGGAUCCUUAUUUUCCCAGCCACCAAGUCACAAUGAGCAAUAAUCUCUUCUUGUUGGUGCAUAUAAAUUUGCUUCAUUCUUUUUUAA